GAUGAACGCUGGCGGCGUGCCUAAUACAUGCAAGUCGAGCGAACAGACGAGGAGCUUGCUCCUCUGACGUUAGCGGCGGACGGGUGAGUAACACGUGGAUAACCUACCUAUAAGACUGGGAUAACUUCGGGAAACCAGAGCUAAUACCGGAUAAUAUAUUGAACCGCAUGGUUCAAUAGUGAAAGACGGUUUUGCUGUCACUUAUAGAUGGAUCCGCGCCGCAUUAGCUAGUUGGUAAGGUAACGGCUUACCAAGGCAACGAUGCGUAGCCGACCUGAGAGGGUGAUCGGCCACACUGGAACUGAGACACGGUCCAGACUCCUACGGGAGGCAGCAGUAGGGAAUCUUCCGCAAUGGGCGAAAGCCUGACGGAGCAACGCCGCGUGAGUGAUGAAGGUCUUCGGAUCGUAAAACUCUGUUAUUAGGGAAGAACAAAUGUGUAAGUAACUAUGCACGUCUUGACGGUACCUAAGCAGAAAGCCACGGCUAACUACGU
rnacentral:rRNA from 1 species